rnacentral:rRNA from 1 species
CGCUGGCGGCGUGCUUAACACAUGCAAGUCGAACGAUGAUGCCCAGCUUGCUGGGCGGAUUAGUGGCGAACGGGUGAGUAAUACGUGAGUAACCUGCCCUUGACUCUGGGAUAAGCCUGGGAAACUGGGUCUAAUACUGGAUACUACCUCGCACCGCAUGGUGGGUGGUGGAAAGGGUUUUACUGGUUUUGGAUGGGCUCACGGCCUAUCAGCUUGUUGGUGGGGUAAUGGCUCACCAAGGCGACGACGGGUAGCCGGCCUGAGAGGGUGACCGGCCACACUGGGACUGAGACACGGCCCAGACUCCUACGGGAGGCAGCAGUGGGGAAUAUUGCACAAUGGGCGGAAGCCUGAUGCAGCGACGCCGCGUGAGGGAUGACGGCCUUCGGGUUGUAAACCUCUUUCAGUAGGGAAGAAGCGAGAGUGACGGUACCUGCAGAAGAAGCGCCGGCUAACUACGUGCCAGCAGCCGCGGUAAUACGUA